rnacentral:misc_RNA from 1 species
GAAAUUUGCCGUUCCAACUUUGUCGCGGUUCUCUCUCACUGGCGGCGGCGGCGAGGCCUCUGCGUCUUCCAGAUCCCUCGUACGGGAGGGAAUCUCCGCAGCCGAGCGGAGCGGCGGAGGGGAGGGAGGUUUCGUACAACAUUUCCCCCCCCAUUAUUUUCUUAUAUGUUUGUGGGUUUCGUCCUCCAUUCGUUACGAUGAAAUGGUCUGAUGCUAAAUUUGGGUUUCGUUCUCCAUUUGUGGGUCUUGCAAGCUGUCCAUGUAAUUUCUGCAUAUCCCUGUGAUGAGCAUUUUAGUAAUCUGAGAGUGCUCACGGUCACUUGGUGCUCCCUCCUCAUCGCUCACGAUGGGAGGUUGAAGGAACCAAUGUCUCUGCACUACAUUGCUGAGAUGUGGCGUUCUGAGGGAUCCGACCGAGUCGUUGAUGGCUCACAUUUUUUUUUUACUUCAAGAAUUUAUCGUGAUCUUUUUUUUGUUGUUGUUGCUGAGGAAACUGUGAUCUUUGUGCCUGAAAACAUGGCACCAAAGUUUGCUCAUGUAUUGUGUGCCUCAAAGAUGACUGUAUGUCUGUAUCUUGAUUCAGGUGUGCCCUAUAUCCGUACGGUGUACGUGCAUGUGCUGGCGCAGCAAAGCGACAGCUCUCUCGAAGAUGACGAUGUUUAUGCUCCCUUUUGGACGUUGAUAUUGGAGGGCAAGAAAUACAAUUGAGUUGUAUACCAAAUCAGUCAUGUAUUAAAAUGAGAUGUAGUUUUAAUUCUAUUGUUUGUAUAUUGUUGGGUUGUACUUUAGAAUCGUGCGUUCUAAUUCCACGCAAUAUAAGAGAGCUUUGUAUGUAUUAGAUGUAAUACUCAAAAGUGUAAUAAAAGAGGAUAGAGAUAAUCUCAAAAGUUUGUGG